rnacentral:rRNA from 1 species
CAGUCCGCGGUAAAACGUAGGGUGCAAGCGUUAAUCGGAAUUACUGGGCGUAAAGCGUGCGCAGGCGGUUAUAUAAGACAGAUGUGAAAUCCCCGGGCUCAACCUGGGAACUGCAUUUGUGACUGUAUAGCUAGAGUACGGCAGAGGGGGAUGGAAUUCCGCGUGUAGCAGUGAAAUGCGUAGAUAUGCGGAGGAACACCGAUGGCGAAGGCAAUCCCCUGGGCCUGUACUGACGCCCAUGCACGAAAGCGUGGGGAGCAAACAGGAUUAGAUACCCCAGUAGUCCCUGUCUCUUAUACAC